rnacentral:rRNA from 1 species
CGGAGGGUGCAAGCGUUAUCCGGAUUCACGUGGGUUUAAAGGGUGCGUAGGUGGGUUAGUAAGUCUGUGGUGAAAUCCCCGAGCUUAACUUGGGAACUGCCAUGGAUACUAUUAAUCUUGAAUGUCGUGGAGAUGAGCGGAAUAUGUCAUGUAGCGGUGAAAUGCUUAGAUAUGACAUAGAACACCAAUUGCGAAGGCAGCUCGUUACACGAAUAUUGACACUGAUGCACGAAAGCGUGGGGAUCAAACAGGAUUAGAUACCCUGGUAGUCCACGCCCUAAACGAUGGAUACUCGACAUACGCGAUAAACUGUGUGUGUCUGAGCGAAAGCAUUAAGUAUCCCACCUGGGAAGUACGAUCGCAAGAUUG